rnacentral:rRNA from 3 species
GAAGGUGGCCUGUGAGGGUUGCUGGAGGUAUCAGAAGUGCGAAUGCUGACAUAAGUAACGAUAAAGCGGGUGAAAAGCCCGCUCGCCGGAAGACCAAGGGUUCCUGUCCAACGUUAAUCGGGGCAGGGUGAGUCGACCCCUAAGGCGAGGCCGAAAGGCGUAGUCGAUGGGAAACGGGUUAAUAUUCCCGUACUUGGUGUUACUGCGAAGGGGGGACGGAGAAGGCUAUGUUGGCCGGGCGACGGUUGUCCCGGUUUAAGCGUGUAGGUGUGUGUUCCAGGUAAAUCCGGUUCACUUUAACACUGAGGCGUGACGACGAGGCACUACGGUGCUGAAGCAACAAAUGCCCUGCUUCCAGGAAAAGCCUCUAAGCAUCAGGUAACAUCAAAUCGUACCCCAAACCGACACAGGUGGUCAGGUAGAGAAUACCAAGGCGCUUGAGAGAACUCGGGUGAAGGAACUAGGCAAAAUGGUGCCGUAACUUCGGGAGAAGGCACGCUGACACGUAGGUGAAGUGAUUUACUCACGGAGCUGAAGUCAGUCGAAGAUACCAGCUGGCUGCAACUGUUUAUUAAAAACACAGCACUGUGCAAACACGAAAGUGGACGUAUACGGUGUGACGCCUGCCCGGUGCCGGAAGGUUAAUUGAUGGGGUCAGCGCAAGCGAAGCUCCUGAUCGAAGCCCCGGUAAACGGCGGCCGUAACUAUAACGGUCCUAAGGUAGCGAAAUUCCUUGUCGGGUAAGUUCCGACCUGCACGAAUGGCGUAAUGAUGGCCAGGCUGUCUCCACCCGAGACUCAGUGAAAUUGAACUCGCUGUGAAGAUGCAGUGUACCCGCGGCAAGACGGAAAGACCCCGUGAACCUUUACUAUAGCUUGACACUGAACAUUGAGCCUUGAUGUGUAGGAUAGGUGGGAGGCUUUGAAGCGUGGACGCCAGUCUGCGUGGAGCCGACCUUGAAAUACCACCCUUUAAUGUUUGAUGUUCUAACGUGGACCCGUGAUCCGGGUUGCGGACAGUGUCUGGUGGGUAGUUUGACUGGGGCGGUCUCCUCCUAAAGAGUAACGGAGGAGCACGAAGGUUGGCUAAUCCUGGUCGGACAUCAGGAGGUUAGUGCAAUGGCAUAAGCCAGCUUGACUGCGAGCGUGACGGCGCGAGCAGGUGCGAAAGCAGGUCAUAGUGAUCCGGUGGUUCUGAAUGGAAGGGCCAUCGCUCAACGGAUAAAAGGUACUCCGGGGAUAACAGGCUGAUACCGCCCAAGAGUUCAUAUCGACGGCGGUGUUUGGCACCUCGAUGUCGGCUCAUCACAUCCUGGGGCUGAAGUAGGUCCCAAGGGUAUGGCUGUUCGCCAUUUAAAGUGGUACGCGAGCUGGGUUUAGAACGUCGUGAGACAGUUCGGUCCCUAUCUGCCGUGGGCGCUGGAGAACUGAGGGGGGCUGCUCCUAGUACGAGAGGACCGGAGUGGACGCAUCACUGGUGUUCGGGUUGUCAUGCCAAUGGCACUGCCCGGUAGCUAAAUGCGGAAGAGAUAAGUGCUGAAAGCAUCUAAGCACGAAACUUGCCCCGAGAUGAGUUCUCCCUGAGACUUAAAGUCUCCUGAAGGAACGUUGAAGACGACGACGUUGAUAGGCCGGGUGUGUAAGCGCAGCGAUGCGUUGAGCUAACCGGUACUAAUGAACCGUGAGGCUUAACCUUACAACGCCGAAG